UUCCGGUUGAUCCCGCCGGACCUGACUGCUAUCGGAUUGAUACUAAGCCAUGCGAGUCUUUGUAGUAAUACAAGGCAGACGGCUCAGUAACGCGUAGUCAACCUACCCUAUGGACGGGAAUAAUCCCGGGAAACUGAGGAUAAUACCCGGCGUACCACCAUUCCUGGAAUGGUUGGUGGUUAAAAUGAUUCGUCGCCGUAGGAUGGGACUGCGACCUAUCAGCUUGUUGGUGAGGUAAAGGCCCACCAAGGCGAUUACAGGUACGGGCUCUGAGAGGAGAAGCCCGGAGAUGGGUACUGAGACACGGACCCAGGCCCUAUGGGGCGCAGCAGGCGAGAAAACUUUGCAAUGUGCGAAAGCACGACAAGGUUAAUCCGAGUGAUUUCUGCUAAAGGAAUCUUUUGCCAGUUCUAAAAAUACUAGUGAAUAAGGGGUGGCAAGUUCUGGUGUCAGCCGCCGCGGUAAAACCAGCACCUCAAGUGGUCAGGAGGAUUAUUGGGCCUAAAGCAUCCGUAGCCUGCUCUGUAAGUUUUCGGUUAAAUCUAUAUGCUCAACGUAUAGGCUGCCGAAAACACUGCAGUGCUAGGAAGUGGGAGAGGUAGACGGUACUUGAUAGGAAGGGGUAAAAUCCUUUGAUCUAUCGAUGACCACCUGUGGCGAAGGCGGUCUACCAGAACACGUUCGACGGUGAGGGAUGAGAGCUGGGGGAGCAAGCCGGAUUAGAUACCCGGGUAGUCCCAGCUGUAAACGAUGCAGACUCGAUGAUGCAUUGGCAUAUAGCCAGUGCAGUGUCGCAGGGAAGCCGUUAAGUCUGCCGCCUGGGAAGUACGUACGCAAGUAUGAAACUUAAAGGAAUUGGCGGGGGAGCACCACAAGGGGUGAAGCCUGCGGUUCAAUUGGAAUCAACGCCGGA
rnacentral:rRNA from 1 species